ensembl:lncRNA
GUCAAGUAAUUCAAGCACAAAGUGUUAAUCUGAAGCUUAGCUAGUUAUCAUGCUUUAAGGAUUGCUAUGUGUGAUUUUUCUCCAAACAUGAGGAAUUUAUUUGUUCUGCUGUCAGUAUUCUUAGCCAUAGUGUCCGCCUGUCCUGAUGGCCACUUUCAAUGCACAUCUGGAGAAUGUGUUUCUGUUCAACUCAUCUGUAAUUUCAAGGAGGAUUGUAUAGAUGGCUCUGAUGAGGAAUUUUGUGGUACGUGCAACUUUGAGCAUCACGCCUGUGGUUGGAACGACACCAGUGAUACCUCUUAUUGCUGGAGAAGGCAGUUAGCAAACAUUACCUCCAUACCUGGAAAGGACCAUACCACAGGAAGCUCUUGGGGUAUUGUUGUUGUUUUUGUUGUGUUGUUGUUGUUGUUGUUGAUGUUGUUGCUAACAUAUUUUGUUCAUGUUCACAGGACAUGUCAUGCAUAUAGAUGGUAAACAAGAAGGUCUCUGGGCAAAGGCUAAUCUAGAGUAUUCAGUUACCCAUGUGGCUGCUCUGGGAUGCCAGAUCAGGUACUGAAAGCAAUUAUUUAACAUGUGUGUUGUUAUGGGAAAAGUCCUUGACUGACUGUUUUAAGAUUCAUCUUUUCAUAUGUUUAUAGGUUUUGGUAUCAUAUUCAUGAUAACAAGUCAUCAUUAUUAUCAUCCCCCCUUAAAGUACAAAUGGUCAGAGGCACCGAUAAGAAAGAUUUGCUGGAGAUUUCUAAAAGUAAGACAGAUGAUUGGGAGAAUGCCACGGCUUUUAUUGGUAACCAGCCAGGAG